rnacentral:rRNA from 1 species
GGAAUAUUGGUCAAUGGACGCGAGUCUGAACCAGCCAAGUCGCGUGCGGGACGAAGGCCCUCCGGGUCGUAAACCGCUUUAGCCGGGGAGUAACGUGCGGGACGCGUCCCGCAGUGAGAGUACCCGGAGAAUAAGCAUCGGCUAACUCCGUGCCAGCAGCCGCGGUAAUACGGAGGAUGCGAGCGUUAUCCGGAUUUAUUGGGUUUAAAGGGUGCGCAGGCGGCGCGUCAAGUCAGCGGUCAAACUGCGGGGCUCAACCCCGUAUCGCCGUUGAAACUGGCGAGCUGGAGUUCGUGCGACGGAGGCGGAAUGCGCGGUGUAGCGGUGAAAUGCAUAGAUAUCGCGCAGAACCCCGAUUGCGAAGGCAGCUUCCGAGCACGCGACUGACGCUCAUGCACGAAAGCGUGGGUAUCGAACA